GACGAACGCUGGCGGCGUGCCUAAUACAUGCAAGUUGAGCGCUGAAGGAUGGUACUUGUACCAACUGGAUGAGCAGCGAACGGGUGAGUAACGCGUGGGGAAUCUGCCUUUGAGCGGGGGACAACAUUUGGAAACGAAUGCUAAUACCGCAUAAAAACUUUAAACACAAGUUUUAAGAUUGAAAGAUGCAAUUGCAUCACUCAAAGAUGAUCCCGCGUUGUAUUAGCUAGUUGGUGGGGUAAAGGCCCACCAAGGCGAUGAUACAUAGCCGGCCUGGGAGGGUGGUCGGCCACAAUGGGACUGGGACACGGCCCCAACUCCUACGGGAGGCAGCAGUAGGGAAUCUUCGGCAAUGGACGAAAGUCGGACCGAGCAACGCCGCGGGGGUGAAGGAGGUUUUCGGGUCGUAAAACUCUGUUGGUAGAGAAGAAAGUUGGUGAGGGCGGAAAGCGCAUCAAGUGACGGUAACUACCCAGAAAGGGACGGCUAACUACGUG
rnacentral:rRNA from 1 species